GACAUAGGUGGCGAACGUUAUCCGGAUUUAUUGGGCCUAAAGCAUCCGUAGCCGGUUCUACAAGUCUUCCGUUAAAUCCACCUGCUCAACAGAUGGGCUGCGGAAGAUACUAUGGAGCUAGGAGGCGGGAGAGGCAAGCGGUACUCGAUGGGUAGGGGUAAAAUCCGUUGAUCCAUUGAAGACCACCAGUGGCGAAGGCGGCUUGCCAGAACGCGCUCGACGGUGAGGGAUGAAAGCUGGGGGAGCAAACCGG
rnacentral:rRNA from 1 species